rnacentral:lncRNA from 1 species
CCAGUUCUGAACCCUGAAAAUUACAUGUAGAAGUCAGAUAGGUAUUGAAAUAUCCACUUAAGACUUUAAACGACUUAAGCGAGUUUGAAGAAUGAAACUUGGAACUUCUGGCCUUCUCAUGAACUCUUGUCCAUGUGAAGACUGGCGGUUUACUGCAAGACAGAAACUGAGUCUGCAGAGUGAAUAUUCCCCCAGCCAGAAGUGUGACUACAGCCUGCCUCCCCAUAUCAAGUACAAAACAGCAAGAGCCCAGAAGGAGGAGGUCCCAUGAAAGCACGAGCUCUAGCAUGGCUGUCCACCGGAGCAAGGGGGCGCCCUAAUGCUGUAUAUUCUUGCCUUGUACCUCAGGAGCACUGACUGAGGGGAGAAAGUGUUAUUCCCUCCUGGGAAUGACAUCUAAGUCCUUCCUCUUUAAGGAAAACAUGUGGAACUAAGUAGUUAAGUGCCCUCUGCCAAAAGCCAAGGGUUUGUAGGCAGAUGAGAAGAAGCAGGGAGCAUUUCACAUGGAGGGAAGGGCACAAGCAAAGAUCCUGGGGCCUCCAAUAACAAGGAAACCUUGUAGACGAAAUUGGGGGGAUGCAUGAAACUUUUCCCUUGCUUCUGAAACGAUAACUCUGCAUUCGUUCUCGACCACCAUUAAUCAUGCAUAGCUGUGCUCACUGAGGCAAUGUUUUUGACAGCCGAUGGAUGAACAAGAUCUUAUUAGCACUGGUUUCCGUGGUUGAUCACUCAUGGCCAACAUCACACAGAAUUUUCAGCCAGGAUGGGAACGCCCAGCAGCUGGAUGUCCAGCUGCCAAUUCAUCAGUUUGAGAAUCUUUGGAAUGAAUACAGAUCCAGGAGCGAAGAAGACAAGUUCGACUGCCAUUCUCUGAGCAGUUCAAGGCAUACUGACUUGCGGGAGUUGUGUGGUGGUCCACUCUGACUGCAAGCACCCCUUUCUUGAACCGAACAGAGUCAAGUGGAAUCAAAGAGAACACACGAAGUUGGCAAGAGAAAGGACAUCUGAAAUUCAUGAAAAUGAUCGCAGCACUGGCCUUGCAUGUAGACCCCUGGCAACCAGCAACUCUGCAAACACUGCACUUUCCCAUCACUAUGUUUUCUAAGUUGAAUAUGGGACUGUUCAGUAAUGGGGGCUGCAAAGAGUGUUUGGGGACAGACAGUGAGUCACUUGCUGGCUUUGCUACAGCAUCCAGAGACGAUCUGAAACAAAGUCCAGGCUGCUGCUGCUGCUGCUAAGUGAAAGGAAAGACAGCCUUUGGGGUCAACAGGCCCCUUAUCAUACACUGCUAAAUAAGCAUGUUUCAUACAAACAACAGGCUUCAUUUUAAGCAGGACUUACCUCCGCUGCACAGACUCCAUAUACUUCUUAAGAAUCAAACUUAAACUGGAAGAUAAAGUCUGAGGUUUGAGAUCGGC